GCCGCCGUAGCUCAGUGGUAGAGCGCACCCUUGGUAAGGGUGAGGUCGUGAGUUCGAUUCUCCCCGGCGGCACCA
rnacentral:tRNA from 3 species